rnacentral:rRNA from 1 species
UACGAAGGGGGCUAGCGUUGUUCGGAAUAACUGGGCGUAAAGGGCGCGUAGGCGGCUUUUCAAGUCGGGGGUGAAAGCCUGUGGCUCAACCACAGAAUUGCCUUCGAUACUGUUAGGCUUGAGACCGGAAGAGGUGAGUGGAACUGCGAGUGUAGAGGUGAAAUUCGUAGAUAUUCGCAAGAACACCAGUGGCGAAGGCGGCUCACUGGUCCGGUUCUGACGCUGAGGCGCGAAAGCGUGGGGAGCAAACAGG